rnacentral:rRNA from 1 species
UCUCUAUCCUCCGUGGGCGUUUGGAGAUUUGAGGGGAGCUCUCUAUAGUACGAGAGGACCUAGAGGGGUUGACCGCUGGUGUGCCAGUUGUCCCGCCAGGGGCAUUGCUGGGUAGCUACGUCGACAAGGGAUAAGCGCUGAAAGCAUCUAAGUGCGAAGCCCACCCCAAGAUGAGAUCUCCCAUCCCCGACUUCGGUCGGGGAGUAAGGCCACAAGUAGACUACUUGUUAGAUAGGCGGCAGGUGUAAGUAUAGUAAUGUAUUUAGCUUAGCCGUACUAAUGGCCGAGGGCUUGGCCUG